rnacentral:rRNA from 1 species
GUAACAGAGGUAGCUUGCUACUUGCUGACGACCGGCGCACGGGUGCGUAACGCGUAUACAAUCUGCCUUAUACAGAGGGAUAGCCUUUAGAAAUGAAGAUUAAUACCUCAUGGUCUAUUAAUAUAGCAUUAUAUAAAUAGUAAAGCUUCGGCGGUAUAAGAUGAGUAUGCGUCCUAUUAGUUAGUUGGUAAGGUAACGGCUUACCAAGACAACGAUAGGUAGGGGCCCUGAGAGGGGGAUCCCCCACACUGGUACUGAGACACGGACCAGACUCCUACGGGAGGCAGCAGUGAGGAAUAUUGGACAAUGGAGGUAACUCUGAUCCAGCCAUGCCGCGUGCAGGAAGACGGCCCUAUGGGUUGUAAACUGCUUUUAUAUAGGAAGAAACCUUUUCACGUGUGAGAAGCUGACGGUACUAUAAGAAUAAGGACCGGCUAACUCCGUGCCAGCAGCCGCGGUAAUACGGAGGGUCCGAGCGUUAUCCGGAAUCAUUGGGUUUAAAGGGUCCGUAGGCGGGAAUCUAAGUCAGUGGUGAAAUCUUACAGCUCAACUGUAAAAUUGCCAUUGAUACUGGGUUUCUUGAAUUAGUGUGAAGUGAUUAGAAUGUGUAGUGUAGCGGUGAAAUGCAUAGAUAUUACACAGAAUACCAAUUGCGAAGGCAGAUCACUAACACUAUAUUGACGCUGAGGGACGAAAGCGUU